CUCUGGCCUGAAAUCAGGUAGGACUACCCGCUGAACUUAAGCAUAUCAUAGGCCGGAGGAA
rnacentral:rRNA from 1 species